rnacentral:rRNA from 1 species
CUCGCCAGGAGACAACGAGCGCCAUAGCUUAAAACCCAAAGGACUUGGCGGUGCUUUAAACCCCCCUAGAGGAGCCUGUUCUAGAAUCGAUAAUCCCCGUUAAACCUCACCCUCUCUUGUUCAUUCCCGCCUAUAUACCGCCGUCGUCAGCUUACCCUGUGAAGGCCUAAUAGUAAGCAAAAUUGGCACAGCCCAGUACGUCAGGUCAACGUGUAGCGUACGAGAGGGGAAGAAAUGGGCUACAUUUACUGAACCAGUAAAUACGGAUCUUGCACUGAAAUAAUGCUUGUGAAGGAGGAUUUAGUAGUAAGAAGAGAAUAGAGUGCUCUCCUGAAACCGGCCCUAAAGCGCGCACACACCGCCCGUCACUCUCCCCCAAAACCCCGACAACCAGUAAAUAACAAUACAGGACAACUACAGGGGAGGCAAGUCGUAACAUGGUAAGUGUACCGGAAGGUGUACUUGGAUUAAAACCC